UGGCGCCCAAUGUUGAGGCUUGAGAACAUGGAGGAUCGGUGAACAUUGCACACCAAGGCAGGCCUGCAUAUUAUUUGGACCACCAUGGAGAACGCUCCGCGAGAGAAGGUCCAGUCAAGUGUUCGCCACGGGGACACUCGACCGUGAGACAGAUCCGGGGAGUUAAUUUGUGCCGACACAAGGUAAGUUUAUCAUGGGACAAGCAUUUAGUAAGCAGGAUUUAUUUAUUUCAGGACUUAGUCUCUCAAGACAUGAGGAACAAGGGUAAAAAAGGAAGAUUUAAAAAAGUUUCUUGAUUAUAUUGGGGACCUUUGUCCCU
rfam:Neotoma lepida isolate 417 scaffold_11716, whole genome shotgun sequence.